CAUUAAAAAGCUCGUAGUGGAUUUGGGCGCGGUCGUCCGGCAGGGCUCCAUUACUGGGGCCGUUGUCUGGUUUUCGACCGCUCCCUUUUCUCGGUAGCGUGUCGCGGGCAUUAGAUUGUCUGCUUCUUCGCGCCCGUCGUUUACUGUGAAAAAAUUAGAGUGUUCAAAGCAGGCUUAGGCCGUUGGAUACAUUAGCAUGGAAUAAUGAGAUAGGGCCACGACGGUCUAUUUUGUUGGUUUGCACGUCGAGGUAAUGAUUAACAGGAACGGUUGGGGGUAUUCGUAUUCAAUUGUCAGAGGUGAAAUUCUUGGAUUUAUGGAAGACGAACUACUGCGAAAGCAUUUACCAAGGAUGUUUUCAUUAAUCAAGAACGAAAGUUAGGGGAUCGAAGAUGAUUAGAUACCAUCGUAGUCUUAACCAUAAACUAUGCCGACUAGGGAUUGGCGGUCGUUAAUUUACAGGACUCCGUCAGCACCUUCCGAGAAAUCAAAGUCUUUGGGUUCCGGGGGGAGUAUGGUCGCAAGGCUGAAACUUGAAACUGACGGAAGGGCACCACCAGGAGUGGAGCCUGCGGCUUAAUUUGACUCAACACGGGGAAACUUACCAGGUCCGGACAUAGUGAGGAUUGACAGA
rnacentral:rRNA from 1 species